UACGUAGGGUGCAAGCGUUAAUCGGAAUUACUGGGCGUAAAGCGUGCGCAGGCGGUUGAUUAAGUUUGAUGUGAAAUCCCCGGGCUUAACCUGGGAACUGCAUUGAAUACUGGUCAGCUAGAGUGUGUCAGAGGGGGGUAGAAUUCCACGUGUAGCAGUGAAAUGCGUAGAGAUGUGGAGGAAUACCGAUGGCGAAGGCAGCCCCCUGGGAUAACACUGACGCUCAUGCACGAAAGCGUGGGGAGCAAACAGG
rnacentral:rRNA from 1 species